UCUCUAUCUCUGGAGGUCACUCCUCUUGGAGCCCUUUGUCUGCAUACUGGUUUGCCAUACAAACUCCUAGUGCACUACAUGAUGUUAUGAAGUGGAAUACCAAUAACCAAGAAUCAUAAAACAAUAACAAAAGCAUGUAAAAGUAGCCUGAGAUGUCUCUUAAAAACUGCAGCCAUCAGACUAAGGACCUAAAGAAACAUUGGACAGAAAUUAUAGAAAACAAUGAGAUUACCUCUCAGCCUCCUUUUCUCCAAACUGAAGAACAUAAGUGUUUUCCAGCCCUUCAACCAGCUUUGUUGCCCUCCUAUGGAAGGAUGUCAUAACAUUCUACAUAUUUUACAGUUUCAGCGAUAUCUCCAAGUUCUCCAAUUUUCAAGACCUGGAUUUUUAUUCAUUUUCUUACCACCAGAAACAUACAUAGUCCCAAAAUUCUAAUUUUAAGUGUUUAGCAAGUAUGUAGUUAAAUAGUUGUGGUUAGCAUGUGUGUGGCUUUUUUAUUUUAUUUAGAUGCAUAUGCAAAAGCAAGCAAGCAAACAACAGCAACAACAGAGCAGAUACUUAGAAACCUACAGAAGCUUAAAAGUAAAAAUUAAUUAGCAGUGUCAUAUUUCAUGACACAUAGGUCCUUGUCCCUUGUCUCACAAGUCUCUGUAAAGGUCAGUAAUUCAUGUUGUCUGUAGUGGAUGUCAAGAGAAGGUGCAAGUUUAUUGGAAUGUCAGUCACAAAUCUAAUGAGUUAUACACUAUUAAGAUCCCAUUUAAGUUAGGCUAAAUUUGCUCAUGGCUUUGUUUUGUUUUAUUCGCUUGGUCUGUCUGUGUGCUUGCUGUUGUUACUUCUGGUUUUGUUUGGUUGGUUUUUUUAUCUAUUUCUUUUUAAGAUAUGUUGACAGAUUAGGUUUAUUCCAGAAAGUAGAUCUUACUUAAGGUAAGAUUUUACUUAAAGAGGGUGGAACAUAUUUCAUAGUCUAAAACAUAUACACGUGCAAAGCGACCACAGAGGCACAUUGUAUAUUUAGAAAUAGAAAAACAAUUUUCAGAUCUGUAGAAUUUCAGCACAGAUUUGGCAGACAUUCUGUCUAUUCCUGACAGUGUUGAAUGCAUUCAAUUUUUUAAUUUUUUAUUUGAAUAUACAUUUUUAUUUUUAUAUAAUUAUUUUUUUCUAUGUGAACUAGGCCCAAAGCCAAUACAUAUACUCACAUAUGGGGAAUAUUUGGUACAACCAGAUGUUAAGAGAUGCAUUCUUCUAGUGCUGGCAUCUGGUCUUGGGUCUACGCCCUUGGCACACUCCCCUCUCUGACUCCUUGAUUAGUUCUGCUGCUGGCUGCUUUGACAUCUGUUCAGCUGUCUGCAGGCUUGGUAAAAUUCUGUUGUGUUUCUUUAUCUUUUUGGAUGUUAUAUUUCUUUGAUACUCUUAGGAGCAUGUAUAAUUUAAAUUUUACUCUGAUGUCCUAGCUAAUAAGGCAAAGUGCAUACUUGUGAACUGAUCCACAGUAAGACGCAACCCCUCAUAUAAGAAGGGAAAGAUCUUGAUCACUAUAUCUAUCUCUAUUUCUUCAUUGUAAAACUGACAAAAACUUAUUAAUAUAUUUUCUGAUAUUUUUAUUUUUAAAUGAGUAACCAUACUGCAUCUGUUUUAAAGAAAUCCAGUUAUUACUUAAACUACAGCUGAAAAAUCCAUCCCUUUAAAACAGGACAAUCAGUGAUGACCAAGUCAACAUUUAAAUUAUUUAUUUAUGAAUGAAACAGAUUUACACUUAAUGCUUUACUGUAACUGGGGAAAAAAAGAAAUAAGGAAAAGAAAAAGCAGGAAAAAAGACCUGAGGAGGGAGGAGAAUGUGGUAACAGAUUCAUUUCUUGGCAGUAUUCUGCUCCUAAACUUAGAUAUAAUGAACAGUAUGCAAUCUCUUCCUGUAACAUUCAAAAGCUUUAUAAUGUAUGUGACGAUUUUAUGGGAUUGAAAUACAUGAGCAAGUUAAUGUUGUUACAGAAGAAGUAUAAAAGAUUGUAAAGACUAUUUUUCAGGUAAAAACAAAAUAAAUGGAUCUUUGCUUGUUU
ensembl:lncRNA